GGGUUGUGAGGUUAAGCGACUAAGCGUACACGGUGGAUGCCCUGGCAGUCAGAGGCGAUGAAGGACGUGCUAAUCUGCGAUAAGCGCCGGUAAGGUGAUAUGAACCGUUAUAACCGGCGAUUUCCGAAUGGGGAAACCCAGUGUGAUUCGUCACACUAUCAUUAACUGAAUCCAUAGGUUAAUGAGGCGAACCGGGGGAACUGAAACAUCUAAGUACCCCGAGGAAAAGAAAUCAACCGAGAUUCCCCCAGUAGCGGCGAGCGAACGGGGAGGAGCCCAGAGCCUGAAUCAGCAUGUGUGUUAGUGGAAGCGUCUGGAAAGGCGCGCGAUACAGGGUGACAGCCCCGUACACAAAAGCGCAUAUGCUGUGAGCUCGAUGAGUAGGGCGGGACACGUGGUAUCCUGUCUGAAUAUGGGGGGACCAUCCUCCAAGGCUAAAUACUCCUGACUGACCGAUAGUGAACCAGUACCGUGAGGGAAAGGCGAAAAGAACCCCGGCGAGGGGAGUGAAAAAGAACCUGAAACCGUGUACGUACAAGCAGUGGGAG
rnacentral:rRNA from 1 species